rnacentral:rRNA from 1 species
UACGGGGGGGGCAAGCGUUGUUCGGAAUUACUGGGCGUAAAGGGCUCGUAGGCGGCCAACUAAGUCAGACGUGAAAUCCCCAGGCUCAACCUGGGAACUGCGUCUGAUACUGGAUGGCUUGAAUCCGGGAGAGGGAUGCAGAAUUCCAGGUGUAGCGGUGAAAUGCGUAGAUAUCUGGAGGAAUACCGGUGGCGAAGGCGGCAUCCUGGACCGGCAUUGACGCUGAGGAGCGAAAAGCUAGGGGAGCAAACGGGG